AAAGAUGACAAUAAAUGGCAAAAUGGAGCAAUUUGGAGCAGUUUUGGAUUUGGAUUGGACAUCAUGGUUGGAUAACAUAUGGGGUGACGUUUUUGGUGUUUAAAUGGUGCUAGAUUUGUGCUAAAAUCUGGAUGAAUUAAAAUUGAGGCUUGGAAGAUAAAGAAUUAGACAAGAAAGAGCAACCUUAUCCAACCUUAUCUUAUCCUAUCUUAUCUUACCUUAUCUUAUCUCCAGCUGCAAAGAGGAAUCCUUAUCACAUUCUAACACUUCCUAUCUGAUUCUAGGAGUCCUAAAAUAAUUCAAAUGAUCUAAUCCUUUUCCUCCUAGGGUUAGCUGUGCCUUUGCCCUAUAAAAACAAAUUGAGCCGUAAAUAUGGGAAGGGGGGAGAAAAGAGUGCCGCAUCCUGCCUCCAGAAAAGAGUGCCGAAUCUGCCAAUCAACCAUUGGAGUUUCCAGAGUUCUUUCUAUUCUUAUUUAGUUUCAAUGUUUAUUUAAAUUGCUUUUCAAUUAUGAUGAAUAUGUGUAGCUAAGUUUCUUUUUAGCUAGAGGUGAAUUCAAAGCCAUGAUCAUAUGUUUUAUAUGAAUUGAUUACAUCCAGUUAUUGUUUCAUAAGACAUUAAUGCGAUUUACUUAUCUGCUGUAUAGAGAACUUAUUCUUGUAUGUUUAUUAAGGAUGCAUACUUAGUUUGCAUGCAGGGAUUUGAUGAUAGAAUAUAAGGGAAUUUCACCUAAUCGUUAUGAACUUAUAUUUCCAAGUAGUAAAAGUCACUGGUCAUGACUGAGUUAAGUAAAUUAUUGGCAGGAGUUUCAUGCUUUUCAUAGUUACGAAUGCUUCGUCAAUGCUUAUGAUUUUCACAGAACUUAAUGAUCUUCGAGAUGUAUCUCUAUCAUGCUUUUCAUAGUUAGGGAACUUGAGAAGAAUAAUUUAAUUGCGACGCUGAGUCCAAAUCAAUAAACCUAGGAAAAUUUGAGAGUUAAUUUGUGCAGUUCACAGUUAAUUUGGGGCAUUGUCAUUCAUGGUUUAUAGAAAUGAUAACUAGAAAUCGAUUUGUAUGCAUAUGUUUCAUGUGUGGAGAACAAUCCUCUAGCUAGCCUUUCACCUAUAUCUCAUACAAGACCUAAUUCGUUUGCUGCAAUUUACUUAAUUUUUGUUAAAAUUCGUCCAAACACCUCCUCAGUUCUUAUUUUGUGUUAGUCUAGCUUAGUUUUCAGUUUUUAAGUUUAAUUUGUGUUGAUUAGCAUCCCUCCUAAUCGAUUUGUGUGUUAGUUUAUACCACAUCAUAGGUCACAGUGAUUAUAUUCGUAAAAGUAUAAGCAUGCCGAAUCGACACCAAACUAUAUGGGCACAAGUACUCAAAGCAAAUGUGCGUCUUAAUCGUAAAUGUAGUUCGGCCAUCAGAAUGCCGAACUCUAAAUCCCACUUGUGAGUAUCCAAUCG
rnacentral:lncRNA from 1 species